CACGUAGGGGGCAAGCGUUGUCCGGAAUCAUUGGGCGUAAAGAGCUCGUAGGCGGCUCGGUAAGUCGGGUGUGAAACCCCCAGGCUCAACCUGGGGACGCCACCCGAUACUGCUGUGGCUAGAGUCCAGUAGGGGAGUGUGGAAUUCCCGGUGUAGCGGUGAAAUGCGUAGAGAUCAGGAAGAACACCGGUGGCGAAAGCGCUCUGCUGGACCUGCACUGACACUGAGGGACGAAAGCUAGGGGAGCGAAAGGG
rnacentral:rRNA from 1 species